rnacentral:rRNA from 1 species
ACAGGUGCUGCAUGGCUGUCGUCAGCUCGUGUUGUGAAAUGUUGGGUUAAGUCCCGCAACGAGCGCAACCCUUAUCCUUUGUUGCCAGCGGUCCGGCCGGGAACUCAAAGGAGACUGCCAGUGAUAAACUGGAGGAAGGUGGGGAUGACGUCAAGUCAUCAUGGCCCUUACGACCAGGGCUACACACGUGCUACAAUGGCGCAUACAAAGAGAAGCGACCUCGCGAGAGCAAGCGGACCUCAUAAAGUGCGUCGUAGUCCGGAUUGGAGUCUGCAACUCGACUCCAUGAAGUCGGAAUCGCUAGUAAUCGUGGAUCAGAAUGCCACGGUGAAUACGUUCCCGGGCCUUGUACACACCGCCCGUCACACCAUGGGAGUGGGUUGCAAAAGAAGUAGGUAGCUUAACCUUCGGGAGGGCGCUUACCACUUUGUGAUUCAUGACUGGGGUGAAGUCGUAACAAGGUAACC